GGGGAAUCUUGCGCAAUGGGCGAAAGCCUGAUCCAGCGACGCCGCGUGGGUGAAGAAGGCCUGCGGGUUGUAAAGCCCUUUCGGUGGGGAAGAAAAGCCUCGAGUUAACACCUCGGGGUCUUGACGUAACACAUAGAAGCAGCAACGGCUAACUCUGUGCCAGCAGCCGCGGUAAGACAGAGGAGCCAAGCGUUGUCCGGAUUGACUGGGCGUACAGCGCACGCAGGCGGCGGCGCGCGUGGGGUGUGAAAUCGCUCGGCUUAACCGAGCGCAGCCACCUCAUACGGCGUCGCUCGAGCCCGAGAGAGGUCCGUGGAAUUGCCGGUGUAGUGGUGAAAUGCGUAGAGAUCGGCAGGAACACCCAGGGGGAAGCCAGCGGACUGGCUCGGUGCUGACGCUCAGGUGCGAGAGCGUGGGGAGCGAA
rnacentral:rRNA from 1 species